CCCUUAGAUGUUCUGGGCCGCACGCGCGCUACACUGAUUCAUGCAACAAGUUUUGUCCUUGGCUGAUAGGCCUGGGUAAUCUUUGAACGUGAAUCGUGAUGGGGAUAGAUGAUUGCAAUUAUUCAUCUUCAACGAGGAAUUCCUAGUAAACGCAAGUCAUCAGCUUGCAUUGAUUACGUCCCUACCCUUUGUACACACCGCCCGUCGCACCUACCGAUUGAAUGGUCCGGUGAAAUCUUCGGAUCUGAGAGAUGUCUGAUUAAUUUCGGACGCCUUUUGGAAAAGUUGUUUAAACCUUACCAUUUAGAGGAAGGUGAAGUCGUAACA
rnacentral:rRNA from 1 species